rnacentral:sRNA from 1 species
AUAGAACAUGCCCACUAUUUUGUUUGGAUAAAUAAAUAAUUUUAGAUAUUACUAUCAUGAUUUAAAUUGAUAAAACUAAUGAAAAUAGAGGUAAAAAACUCAAACUCUCAAACUAUGCCACCAUGCCCAAACUAUGCCACCAUGCCUUUUGCCACUAAUCUACAUUAAUAAUUUUGCUAAAAAUAUGGCUAAUCUUGUAUAUAAUCAAAAAAUAGCCGCAAACAGAAGUUUUAUUAGCUUAGUCUCGUCGACGGCUUUGAUCAUACACAUAUGGAAUCAAGUACUAAUCCGAAGUGCACAAACCUCAACAUUCAUUUUUUGUCAACAAUAUGCAUUUUGUGAAUCUAAAUUCAGAUGGUAAUACAACGAAUCAACGAAAAUACUAAUACAAAUCAUUAUAUUAGUAAGUAGUGUUUUUUUAAUGUUAAAUUAUAUU